rnacentral:lncRNA from 1 species
UUCAGGGAUGGUGCGUGGAGUAACACUGGCGGAGAAUCUUGAAUGGUGUAUACGCAAAAUGAGAGCAAUAAUUGAGAGUCGAAUAUGGAACUUUUUGAAAACUAUGAAAAGGUGGUGUAGGGGGAGCAAUAUAGGGUUUUUUUUUCUUUCUUCCUUUUUCAAGGCUUUGUGGGAGUGUUGAAGAAGCAAGAGCAUGGAAGUUUCGCGUUUCGUAUCGGAACUCGAACUUAGAACGGUCAUGUUCUGCGCUUACUGUU